CAAAAUAGAGAAAGAGCUGUGUAAGUACCAAAAUGCCCCUAGACACGUAUUGUUCUUCCUCUCUCUCCUUUUCUUUUCCCCAUUCUUCCUCGCGACGGCGGCUGUCCCGAGCCGGGAUGGCUCGGCCACGGCGGGACGGCGACGGCGACGCAUCGCCGGGGUUCAUCGCCGACAGCCACCUCCGUCUGCCAGCUCACCCCGUCCCCACCUCUCCUCCCUGCCGUCCUCGCUUCCUGCAACGGCCGGCGCGGGCCGCUGGGGCGCAGACGGAGGUGUCGUGCUCCUGCUGUGGCUGCGAUCCUACCAGUGCUUCCCGACGACGCGGAGGAGUGUGCCGGCGCAGAUCAUCAUCAAACACGACCACACCAGCAGCAGCAGCCAGGGAGGACGCAAAGCAACACCACGGCGCAAAGACGUAAUGCUUUUGCUCCAUUCUUUAGUUUUUACCCAUCAAGGAUGGAGCUUCGUCAUGGCAGCCUAGCGAGGCUGGUUGAUGACACGGGGCGCGCCGCCGCUCCUUGGGCUACCGGCGUACUUGGUGGGCUUCUCGGAGUGUCGGGGCUUCUCCCGGAGCCCCCUCGGGCCGCGGCGCGUCGCCACCCUUGGGAGAGACUAGGCUCAGUGCCUUGAGCACCGCAUCUGCACACACACAUGGAAACAUGGCGAUGAAUUCACCGCACUCCACGACGGCGGCGUGUCUUCCCCGCGCUCGCGCCGCCAACGUCGCAGCUGGAAGCGAACGGGAUGACGACAGCGUGCGCCGGCGGGGAGGGCAGCGAGGAGGCUGGAGAGGGAGUGCUCGCGGAACGGCGACGACGCACGACGGCUCGGCCAUGGCGGAGCUCGGCGGCAGCGCAACGAGAAAAAGAUGAACAGAGAGAGAGGAAGAAGAAGAACAAAGAGAGAUUAACAAGUGGGACUAUGGUCAAACUUGUCUUUAACCAAAGUUUCUCUCUUCAUUUUGACCGGAAAUAAUAAAAUAAUGGAAUGAGUGUCCAGCAGCUAA